UGGGGAAUAUUGGACAAUGGGCGAAAGCCUGAUCCAGCCAUGCCGCGUGUGUGAAGAAGGUCUUCGGAUUGUAAAGCACUUUAAGUUGGGAGGAAGGGCAGUAAGCGAAUACCUUGCUGUUUUGACGUUACCGACAGAAUAAGCACCGGCUAACUCUGUGCCAGCAGCCGCGGUAAUACAGAGGGUGCAAGCGUUAAUCGGAAUUACUGGGCGUAAAGCGCGCGUAGGUGGUUCGUUAAGUUGAAUGUGAAAGCCCCGGGCUCAACCUGGGAACUGCAUCCAAAACUGGCGAGCUAGAGUAGGGCAGAGGGUGGUGGAAUUUCCUGUGUAGCGGUGAAAUGCGUAGAUAUAGGAAGGAACACCAGUGGCGAAGGCGACCACCUGGGCUCAUACUGACACUGAGGUGCGAAAGGGUGGGGAGCAAACAGG
rnacentral:rRNA from 1 species